rnacentral:lncRNA from 1 species
AAUAAUUCUUUCCAAUAGCAAAAGCAUGGCAGGAAGCAAAGCAACCAAGAUCUGGCAAUAAUCUACGCUUAUUACAAGAAAAAUUAAUCAGUAGAAACAUGCAUACAGCAGGUUAACAACUACCAUAUGCAGAAUUGCAUAAUUUUGAUUUCAAUUCUCAGCAAGGAUUGGUCCAUGAUCUACAACUCUGAAAAACUCAGUGCAAAGCAGAGUGGACAACCACUCAGUUACAGGGGUUUUGGCAUCAAGCAAGACUUGCUCUCUCCUCAUAAUCUGGCCACUUGGACAUGAGCAUCUUCGGUGCUGGUGCUUCUUGCUCAUCGAGGUUUAUGUGCCGGAAAGAUGACACCAAACAAAGUCUGAAUCAGUUUGAGCACAAGACCGUGUAAGUCUCACACAUCCAUACUUAAAAUAUUUGCUCCUGAGCUAAUCUAAUGAGUAAAAAUACCAUUUCACUAGCAGGAAGAGAACUGUACACUGCAUAUAGUCAUUUCUACACUUUACUUAAUAUCAUCACUAAACUUGAAUAACAAUUUGAUCAGGUAUAAUUUCUGCCAUAGGGGGGGAUGAAAUUUCCUACAACGUUUUCUCAAAUAUGUGAGUGGAAAGAUGAUUCGAAUGCAAUAUAACCAGCUAAAUCAUUUGGGUAUUGUUACUAUCUAGAACGAACAUUAUAUCUAUUUAUGGGUGAUUCAUUUCUGUAAGGGUCAAAAAACAGACAAUUUGUACUAACAAACUAGCUCGGUCACUUGAUCAGGAUGUUCAAUGAAGAGUGGUAUGUUUGAUGAGGUCCCAUUUCACUCUUACUCCAAUGUACUCCCUCCAUUCCUAAAUAUAAGACCUUUUAGAGAUUUCAAUAUGGACUACAUACGGAGCAAAAUAAGUGAAUCCACACUCUAAAAUAUGUCUAUAUACAUCUGUAUGUAGUCCGUAUUUAAAUCUCUAAAAGGGCUUAUAUUUAGAAACGGAGGGAGUACACAACAACGUAAUAGUUUCCUACAUCUACAUAACAAAGCAUACAUAGUAAGGAGAAAGAAAUGGUUUUAAAUUUUUUAAAUAGAGUUUAUGACUAUUCUAUAAUGGGGAUUAAUAGUGUAAACAAAUAAUUUUUUAAAAAAUGGAGUUUAAUGGCUAGCAUUUGAGCAUCACAAUUUUUUUUAAAUGGAGUUUUAUGACUAGCAUUGGCCUUUUUGGACCGUGUGUUCUCACCUGAUAGUGUUGGUACACAGUUUGCGAUUUUUGGAACUAUGUGCUCUCCUAAAGGUGAUAUUGCACUACUUCCCUCCAUUUCAGAUCGAGAUGAACCAACAGAACGGCGGGGGCGAGCUUAGUAGUUGACGAGCUGCGAUUAUCCAGCAUACCCAAACCAGACAUUGUGUUCUACGCCAAAAUCCAAAUAGCUGAUUGUUUAGUCACCUUGAUAUAACAAAAUGAGACAUCAGCACAAUUACAAGACUGCAAAGUUAAGGUUGCAAAUUAAAGAGAUGCACACAAGCAGACUUAUUUUUACAUACAAAAGGUAACAAAGUUGUAGUAUUUUUUACAUCCAACGUGUUAUUACAACUGAAUGAGGAAGAGCAAAGAGCUAACACAAUAGUUUCACUACAUCAAAACUAGCAUGAUUUUUGGUUUCAGUGCCAUUACUGGACAAAUAGAUUGUAAACUCUCAAAAACCAGUGAAGUGGUACAUAUUGCAAGUGUGUAAUAAAUUCCAGUCUUGUGCUGACAAGCACUUAACUUGCAAAUAUUUUAAUAGGUAGAUGAGAUUAGUUCGUUCUCAUGUACAGUUCCAGCAAAGUCAACGAAGUUUCACAAUAUCAAAUUGGUCGAAAUUCUAGUCCAAGCAAAAUAUAGCAAGCUGACUGGGAAUAACAAAAAACCCCUAUAUAUCCAAUUGGAAGAUAGUUACCCACUGAAUGAUCUUUUAUUCGCAAAAAUGAUACUACAGUCUAUUUAGUUUUGAUGCUCAAGUAUGAUUUUCUUAUUGCAACAACUAUAAUAAGGCGGCCACCAGAGUUCUCAUGUACAGUUGGGUUAGUAAUAACGUUUUCUACAAUUUCAUAUAAUGGAUCAUGCUUAAUAAGGCGGCCACCAGAGUUCAAGAUUCUUAUCUUCUACUACUAUAGUCUAUAGUACACAAAUACUUGAAUUUUGAUUAGCUAUCCACCAAGACUCGCGAGCAAUUAUACACCAUUGGUUUGUUCCAGAAGAUGAAUAUCCAUCGUCUGCCAGUAUGCAACCCAAGUGAUCCAACGGAUGACAUUUAUGGGAUUCGCUCCGUACGGACACGUGCCAAAACGACUGCAUGACUUUUCUGGAAUCCUCGCGGCUCCAAAUGCGCCCACGCACAAUAUCAAUGGGUUUGUUCUUGUGCAAAAGUCUGCUAUUUAAGAUCUGUUGUGGCUAUUCUGAACUUCACUGCUCUCAGUGAUUGGAGGAUCGGGCUAUAAUUAACCCUCACAAAUCAACGGGUAAACAACUAGUACCUUCCACAAAUCAAUCGCAUCUGCGCCGCCAAAAAAAUAGUAUCUACACUGAACUUCCAACGGAUUGGACAAUAAAGUUUUGUACAUCUUCAACAGGAAUUUAUAACACUGAAAAGAAUUGUAGUAUGCAACGUUGGCAGCGUCUGAGUAAGCCAUAUCUUUUCAAAAAAAAAAAAACAGUGAGCGAGGGCAGAAAACGUGAAUUGCCCGUGCCUUCUACUAGUACGAUUGAACAAGAAAAAGGUCAUCUGGCUGAUUCUUAUGUGACAAAUCUGGGAGGGGGAGCCUUGUUGAGUUGAGCAAUUGGGACAUACAUACAGGGAGUUCGGUUUGUUGCAGUGGCAAUGAUGCCUGCAAAUCUGUAGCGCUAGAGCAGUAUCAGCCGCCGAAUACAGUACCUCCAGAUCUUGUCGAUUGCAAUGGGUAAGACAAAUGGUAGAUCGAGGUUGUCCUCGGCGUUUGGGGAACUGUACCUGGAGAUUGGCUCGGACAGCGUCGCGGCGCAGCACAGGAGAGGUCCGCCCGGGCAGCCCGACCGCCGGCGACGAGACGACCAAGAUUCUUCCAGUAGCCAAGGCCGCCCAGCUAGGUACAUCUAGGGGCAGAAAUGGAAAGCUUCCUCCAGUAGCCAAGGUCGCCCAUCUAGGUACAGGAUCUACACCGCCGUCGCCAUUGGCAAGCCAUUAGGGUUGGGGAUUUGUUGGACCUCAGCCGCUGCGGCUUGAUUUGGAAGGAGAUGACCGGUAGAAAAUAAGAGGAGAUCGGGAGCAAAAUAAAUGGAAAUGAGGGACUAUUUUACAAAGAUGAGCGCACAGAUCCCUCACUAAAAUAUGGGCCAUCCAUGUUGGAUCCGACGGUCUAGGACGGUUUUUUCUAUUUUUGUACCACAAGCGCGUUUUCUAUUGUAGUCACUCCCAACUCAUAACCCAGCGAUACAUUAGUUAGGUGCUGCAUUACAUAUAGAUUAACUGGUUCAAAAGUAAAGCACAGCAGUGCGAAUUAUACUAUACAUGACACAAGGCAUAUGGCUGCACAUAGUAUGCGAGACGGGUUAUAUAUAUGCGCUGGACGGUGUUGAGAGGUGGCUCUCACAGUCGAUGUACGGUGAGAGAAAGACGGUUUCACCUUGCGUUUGAAUGCGAUUGACGCUGUCCGUCGCUCAUGAUGAACAUCCAUCAAUCCAUCAUUGACGCUGUCCGUCGCUCAUGAUGAACAUCCACCCCACGCGCGUGUGCUUGAUUCCCAUCGGCUUGGUAUAAUGGGCUAGUAGUGUGGGCAGAGGACUCAUGGAGUGGCCCUAAAGGGAAGAUAUUGUAACCUGUACCCCAUGCAAACCUCAAGUGACAUGUAUCUUCAGUGAAGUGUCUCAAUUUCGCUGGUGAUACUUGUCAGCUAUGUAUUUGAUGGAAUUAGAUAUGAGUCUCACACUAAUUGUCUCAAAAAAUAUGGACAGAAGCCAGGUCAGUUCAUAGUGCUUGAUGGGUCAUGAUAAAGCUUGUUCCAACAUGCAUUGAAUAGUCACCUGGGAGGCAACUUCAAGAUAAUUAAAAUAACUUGUCUUGCCAAGUUUAAAUAAAAUGAAGGGUUGUACUAAAGUUCUAGUUAGGAAUAUCUCGCAUGAUCACAAAUGGGCAUUAAUUUUAGUCAAUAGAGAAACAGAAGUAUCUGCUGCAACACAAACAACUCUAGAUUCACUUGUUGAAACUAUAUCUUAACAAAAAUCCAAUAAUCUGGGCUAAAGUAUAUCACCAAAUAAAUAUAGUAUCCGUCAAGAUUCACGGCACUGGUCAUCACUUUGAAAAAUUAAGUAUUACAAAAUACAUAACUAUAUUCUAGGUUCAUUAUACAGAUAAAAGGCAACAUACAAGUCGAGAGGAAAAAUAGUGAAGCCGACCUGAACAAUACCGACCCUCUGAGUGAGCUCAUCCAGUCUCCUCCGAAUCACACUUGUGGAGUGCACAUUUCCAUGAAACCAGACUCACACCGUAGAAGGAAAGAUGUAUGAAAAAGACAAGUCAAAGGCUCAAAGCUAUCAGAUCAAAAAUAAAUAUAAUGAAUGCAUCUAUAUCAUGUGUCAUGCAUGUGUGAGA